CCUACGGGUGGCAGCAGUGGGGAAUAUUGGACAAUGGGGGGAACCCUGAUCCAGCCAUGCCGCGUGUGUGAAGAAGGCCCUCGGGUUGUAAAGCACUUUCAGUGAGGAAGAACGCCUGGUGGUUAAUACCCAUCAGGAAAGACAUCACUCACAGAAGAAGCACCGGCUAACUCCGUGCCAGCAGCCGCGGUAAUACGGAGGGUGCGAGCGUUAAUCGGAAUUACUGGGCGUAAAGCGCGCGUAGGUGGCUUGAUAAGCCGGUUGUGAAAGCCCCGGGCUCAACCUGGGAACGGCAUCCGGACCUGUCAAGCUAGAGUGCAGGAGAGGAAGGUAGAAUUCCCGGUGUAGCGGUGAAAUGCGUAGAGAUCGGGAGGAAUACCAGUGGCGAAGGCGGCCUUCUGGACUGACACUGACACUGAGGUGCGAAAGCGUGGGUAGCAAACAGGAUUAGAUACCCUGGUAGUC
rnacentral:rRNA from 1 species